rnacentral:rRNA from 1 species
AGUGAACGCUGGCGGUAGGCCUAACACAUGCAAGUCGAACGGCAGCACGGUAAGAGCUUGCUCUUACGGGUGGCGAGUGGCGGACGGGUGAGGAAUACAUCGGAAUCUACUUUUUCGUGGGGGAUAACGUAGGGAAACUUACGCUAAUACCGCAUACGACCUACGGGUGAAAGCAGGGGAUCUUCGGACCUUGCGCGAUUGAAUGAGCCGAUGUCGGAUUAGCUAGUUGGCGGGGUAAAGGCCCACCAAGGCGACGAUCUGUAGCUGGUCUGAGAGGAUGAUCAGCCACACUGGAACUGAGACACGGUCCAGACUCCUACGGGAGGCAGCAGUGGGGAAUAUUGGACAAAGGGCGCAAGCCUGAUCCAGCCAUACCGCGUGGGUGAAGAAGGCCUUCGGGUUGUAAAGCCCUUUUGUUGGGAAAGAAAAGCAGCAGGUUAAUACCCCGCUGUUCUGACGGUACCCAAAGAAUAAGCACCGGCUAACUUCGUG